rnacentral:rRNA from 1 species
UACGUAGGGGGCAAGCGUUGUCCGGAAUUAUUGGGCGUAAAGAGCGUGUAGGCGGCCAGAUAAGUCCGCUGUGAAAUCUCGAGGCUCAACUUCGAGCUGUCGGUGGAAACUAUCUGGCUAGAGUCCGGAAGAGGAGAAUGGAAUUCCUGGUGUAGCGGUGAAAUGCGCAGAUAUCAGGAAGAACACCCGUGGCGAAGGCGGUUCUCUGGGACGGUACUGACGCUGAGACGCGAAAGCGUGGGGAGCAAACGGG